rnacentral:rRNA from 1 species
GACGAACGCUGGCGGCGUGCCUAAUACAUGCAAGUCGAACGCAGUGGGGACGGGUGAGUAACACGUGGGUAACCUCCCAUCAGAGGGGAUAACACUUGGAUAAAGGUGCUAAAGCGCUACUGAUGGAUGGACUCGGUGUGCAUUAGCUAGUUGGUGGGGUAACGGCUCACCAAGGCCACGAUGCAUAGCCGACGUGAGAGGGUGAUGGGCCACACGGGGACUGAGACACGGCCCAGACUCCUACGGGGGGGAGGAGGAGGGAAUCUUCGGCAAUGGACGAAAGUCGUACCGAGCAACGCCGCGUGAGUGAAGAAGGUUUUCGGAGCGUAAAACUUUGUGGUGAGAAGCGGUAUCUAACCAGAAAGCCACGGCUAACUACGUGCCAGCAGCCGCGGUAAUUC